CACGUAGGGUGCGAGCGUUGUCCGGAAUUAUUGGGCGUAAAGAGCUCGUAGGCGGUUUGUCGCGUCCGCUGUGAAAAUCCAGGGCUUAACCCUGGACCUGCAGUGGGUACGGGCAGACUAGAGUGCGGUAGGGGAGAUCGGAAUUCCUGGUGUAGCGGUGAAAUGCGCAGAUAUCGAGGAGGAACACCGGUGGCGAAGGCGGAUCUCGUGGGCCGUAACUGACGCUGGACGGAGCGAAAGCAUGGGGAGCGAACAGGAAUU
rnacentral:rRNA from 1 species